UUAAAUUGAAGAGUUUGAUCAUGGCUCAGAUUGAACGCUGGCGGCAGGCCUAACACAUGCAAGUCGAACGGUAACAGGAAGCAGCUUGCUGCUUCGCUGACGAGUGGCGGACGGGUGAGUAAUGUCUGGGAAACUGCCUGAUGGAGGGGGAUAACUACUGGAAACGGUGGCUAAUACCGCAUAACGUCGCAAGACCAAAGAGGGGGACCUUCGGGCCUCUUGCCAUCAGAUGUGCCCAGAUGGGAUUAGCUAGUUGGUGAGGUAACGGCUCACCAAGGCGACGAUCCCUAGCUGGUCUGAGAGGAUGACCAGCCACACUGGAACUGAGACACGGUCCAGACUCCUACGGGAGGCAGCAGUGGGGAAUAUUGCACAAUGGGCGCAAGCCUGAUGCAGCCAUGCCGCGUGUAUGAAGAAGGCCUUCGGGUUGUAAAGUACUUUCAGCGGGGAGGAAGGUGUUGUGGUUAAUAACCGCAGCAAUUGACGUUACCCGCAGAAGAAGCACCGGCUAACUCCGUGCCAGCAGCCGCGGUAAUACGGAGGGUGCAAGCGUUAAUCGGAAUUACUGGGCGUAAAGCGCACGCAGGCGGUCUGUCAAGUCGGAUGUGAAAUCCCCGGGCUCAACCUGGGAACUGCAUUCGAAACUGGCAGGCUUGAGUCUUGUAGAGGGGGGUAGAAUUCCAGGUGUAGCGGUGAAAUGCGUAGAGAUCUGGAGGAAUACCGGUGGCGAAGGCGGCCCCCUGGACAAAGACUGACGCUCAGGUGCGAAAGCGUGGGGAGCAAACAGGAUUAGAUACCCUGGUAGUCCACGCCGUAAACGAUGUCUACUUGGAGGUUGUGCCCUUGAGGCGUGGCUUCCGGAGCUAACGCGUUAAGUAGACCGCCUGGGGAGUACGGCCGCAAGGUUAAAACUCAAAUGAAUUGACGGGGGCCCGCACAAGCGGUGGAGCAUGUGGUUUAAUUCGAUGCAACGCGAAGAACCUUACCUGGUCUUGACAUCCACAGAACUUUCCAGAGAUGGAUUGGUGCCUUCGGGAACUGUGAGACAGGUGCUGCAUGGCUGUCGUCAGCUCGUGUUGUGAAAUGUUGGGUUAAGUCCCGCAACGAGCG
rnacentral:rRNA from 1 species